UCCGUGUGUCCUCCCCCAAGCAACGGCUGAAGGUGGCUUCUUCCCUCCCCUCAUCUGCACCCCCGUUCUCAUUCCCAUUCCCGGAUCUGGCUCGGACCAGUCCUGGUGCGAGAGGCCACCGGCGGCGGAGCAUGCAAUGCGAGCGCUCUAACCAUGUCUGACCGAAUCCUGCCGCCGUGCCCGCCCCUCUCGCCGUGGCCGAUGACCGCUUCCCUCCCCGGACGGCGGCGAUGAUGGAGGGAGCCGCCGGCGACGGCCAGGCUCCGGGCGGCGGUCGCGCCGGGCCGCCGCUCCUCGGGGCCAGCCCCCCUCGCCGCGCCGUCGCGCAUCGGCUUGGAGGCCCCUCGGGGCUGCCGCCGAUGCGGGGGGCGUCCGCGGCCGUGCGGGCUGGGGACCGAGCGGCGCUCCGGUCAAGGGCCUGGUCUGGCCGGCGCGGGAUCUGAGCCGCCGUCGAUGGAUUUCUCGCAGCUUGGCUGCGUUUUGCUUUGGAUCCGAGAGGCAGCGAUGAGGAAUGAUGAAGGUGGUGAAGCCUGCCGUCUCCCCCGGCCUCGGACCUUUGCUUCAUGGGGCCACCCCUCCUGUCGCGCCCUCUGCACUAAUGCAUCGGCUUGGGAGGCCCUUCUCGGGCAGCCGCCACAGCUGAAACAUCAGGGGCUGGCGGUUUGCGGUGUGGAUCAUGGGGUGGAGUAGUCCUGUGGCCUCUGGUGGCUGGGAAGUUGGGUGUGCUCAACGAGAUCUGAGCUACUCUGAUGGAUUUUUCACGAUUCAGUUCCGCUUUUUGGACCUGAGCUGCUGUGUCUGGGAAGUCUGAAUCCCUCUCCGCCUGAACUCUUACUGAAUGUGGAGGGAAUACAUAUUGAACGAUACUUGCGUUCCAAAGAGGCACUUAAAUCUUAAUUACCACCUCUUCUCUCUUCUGAGCUCUAAUCGCCCUCCAGCUGCUGAUACUGUGCUUAGCUGCAUAUGUUUUGUAUCUGACCCGACCUAUUUUCCACCCUUAUCUGUUGCUAGGGAUGCAAACGAGUCGAGCUCGAGCGAGUUGGAGUUGGCUUAGCUCAACUCGUAUGAAAAUUCGAGCGAGCUCAAACUAAGUGAAGCUCAUGAUCGAGCUGUAGAACAUGACUCGUGCUCAGCUUGUAACGAUCUUGAGUCGAUCUCGAGCUAGUUUCGAGCUAAAUGAGAUGAUAGAAAUUAUAAAUCUAUGGAUUAAAACAAAAAAAAAUUAAGGUGAAUAUGCUGGGAACCUUUGCCAAAAAUAUAGGGUAUUUAACACAUAGUCGACCACGUGCAAUAAUUAGGCCUAAAUCUCCUCUGAACUUAAUUAAGUUUCCAUGUUCGUUGGCAAAUAUAAAAUGGAGAAAAAUUAUGGACAAAAUAUAUGGUAAUAAAUUAUCUUAUUUUCGUUUAAUAUAUGGCAUGAUCAUUUAACAUAAUGAUAUUCUGUCGAGCUAUCGAGCUAAAAUCGAACGAGCCAAUAUUGGCUCAAGAUCGGCUCGUUUCUUGGUCGAGCUACAUAAAGUGUUCAAACUCUGCUUGUUUAUUUUCGAGUCGAUCUCAAGUCGAGUCAAAAAACGAGUCGAUCUCGAGCGGCUCACGAGCCUCGAGCUUUUCUUGCAGCCCUAUCUGUUGCAUGCGCAAAGGGAUCUUCGACUAUUCUAUUUUUCCUACACAUUUUGUUGGUUUUGCAGUAUGUCAACCAGUUCUGUUGUUUUAGGAACAGUACUCUAGCCGCACUUAUUGUUGUCUUCUGUUCUUCCUUUUUCUUGAAUGGUUAUGAUAAUUCUGCUGUCCCUUGGAUAGUUCUUAAGACUAUCUUAAUUACUGUUGGGGCAGUUUGCUUGUUUCAAUUGCUACUUCAUAAUUUCGUUCUUCUGCUGUACUCUUUUAUCUACUUAUCAGUUGUACUUUUGGUUUCUUGUUAGUUCUUUAGUGGUUUCAACUUAAGGGUUGUAUAGGGCAAGUUAAGAUUACUGUUUCCUUUGUGUCAAGUUCAUGAAUGGCUGUGAUGAUAUAACUUCCCUGCGAGAGCUUCUAUCUAACACCUGAAUUGAUUCACUUGGUGCUAAACUAGGAUGGCUUGUGUCACAGCAAGUAACCAGUUCAGCGGCCAACUAUUACUCCCUCCGUCCACAAAUAUAAGAUGUUCAUGGUCAUUUUAGCAGAAGUUCAGUUAUGGUGUCGAGAUGGAGAUAUAAGCAUCUGAGCCUUUUACUGAUACAUGUACCCUUUUUUGUGUCCACCAGAUCAUGAUUUGAUCCCGAUAUAGUAGUUCUUUCUGCUUUCACUGAUUCUUGCGUGGUUUCUGGUCAUAUUUUGUUCUUUGACAACUGGCUUCCCUCUAUUCUUUUUUGUGGGAUUGAAGCAAAGUGCUAUUGAUGGAAAUGAUGAGUAAGGCUCAUUCAGAUGUGUACUGAGAUCAGAUACCAUUGCUUGUUUUUAUGGUGUGUGUUAGGGUUAGGGUUUUGUGUGACUAGGUGGAAGCAUGCAAAUCGGGACGGCUUGCUUUCUGUGAGCAACCAUUUGAAUGAUGAAAUGUAGAACAGGGGCAUCUCCAACGCGGAUCACUAAGUGUAUCAAGUGUAUCAGAUACACUAGCUUCUUCAUAUGGCCGUCCUUCUCUCUACUGAUGCCUGUUUUAAGUCAAAGUAUAUGCAAGUGUUGGCGGUGCUGUGAUUCAUAUGGUCAAUCUGGUUAAGUGCAACAUGCUUGUUCAUACCUGGAUGCAUAUGAGCAUUAAGAUGGCAAGAAAUAAAGUGCCAUGGCUUGAACUGCAAUUUUGAUAACUAGUCUCACUUGCUAGCCAUUACAUAUUAGCCCUCCAUGCAACUGUAUUACCAUACAAUCUUUACAUACAAGUUUACAACUAGCUCCUGUAUUUGUAUCUUUGGCGAGCUACAUGCCUCCAUGCGUCGUACUCCCAGAAUCUAAUGGCCCUGUUGUGCUAUUUGUAAAUUAUGCUGGUUGCGACUAUAAAAAGUGUUUUGUUUUGUGAGUACAGCUGUUUCGUUUGUCGCAUGGAAGUUUUUUUUGUUGCCUAGAUUCCCUGGAGUUUGUACCGAGAGUUCUCUCUACCUAUCGUACCAUUAUGUCUAAUCAUGAAUGUGCAUUUGCAAUAAGCAGUUUCAUCUAGAUAUGGAUCUAGUUUGAUGUCUAUUAUGUGGCUCGAAUAUAUGGGCUAUUCCUUAGUUUUAUGGUGUGUCUCAGGCUCAUGUAGAUGUGACGGAACUAUGUCACAUGUAAGGGCCUCUUUGGGACGGCUCGACUCCUCAAAAAUCAGCUUAACUCCAUCAACUCCACUUUGGAGCAAUUCCAGGAGUUGCAGCUCCACCUUGGAGCAGCAGUUUAUUUUGUUUGGCUUACAGCCAGCUUCAAAUUCAAGAAUGAAUGUUCUAUUCUUUUCUGAAUGGCUAUGAUGAUUUCCUCCUCUUUGGUGGGAAAAGUCUGUUGUGCCCCUAUUUUUUGUUCAAUUGUUGAUGUUUUGAUAGCCCAACAUUUGUGCCCCUUGAGCAAUUGUUGUUAUUUUUCAUUUUUUGCACUCUAAAAAAAUACAAUAUUACACGUGGACUCGUGUACUUCCGGUUUGAGUGUUGUAUGCAUGAACAUGUCGUUGGAUUAAAAAUAUACUGUAUGCACCAAAA